GUUUGAUUGUAUGGAUCUAGCAAAAUACACUUGAGCCAGCAAUUGAUUUAGUAGUGUCGAGCCAGACGAGGUCGAGGGGAUUGAAAUCGAGAGGCGAAUAUGGACAAUCAAGAAUGGACCAAGCUCGGAGCUGUGUGGAAGCGAAGCCAGGGAUUAUGAUACCGGAGAGUUUAGAGUAGUCUCCGCCGAAAUUUCCACCAUCUCCACCG
rnacentral:misc_RNA from 1 species